AAGACUGUACUUUCAGGGAUCAUUUCUACAGUUCAUCACUAGAAAAGUUUCUCUGAACAUGUAGAGCACCGAAAACCAGGAGGAAGAAAACCAGGAGAAGCAGGCACAGGUUCUCUCCUGACAGCUGCCUCUUGGUGUUGCUUCGCUGCAACUGCUAUUUGCCAUCAAUGAUCGCUGUUCACUCCCUUCAGAAGAAUAAGAGGGAGGGAACGAAGCUGAGUGAU